GAAAGACAUAUACCCACCCAUACAUAGCAGCAUGGCAUAGUAUGCCAGUGAAGGACAAUGAACAACCAUGUUACUCCUGGAGAUCAGAACCAGAGGCCGCCAGACUAACAAACUUACUCCAUCUGCCAAGACCACUGUCUUGUGAUUGAGUGGGAGCUGGACUACUAGAUGAGAAGAGAUAUGGCCCAGCUACCCUCAUCACUCCCUGCAAAACCCAACCAACUGCAAGCUGUACUCGAGGCCAUAGCCUGCCAGUUGAUCCUGGGGCCACAGGGAUUCUCAAACUUCAGGAUGCAUCAGAGUCACAGGGAAACACAAAGUGGUAGAUCCAACCCCGAGUUUCUUUCUUUUUUUUUUUGCACCAAGAGGUCUUUUUAUUUAAAUUAACUGCA